AGGAUAAUAGUUAAAAAAAAUAACAUUUAAUUUGCUAUUAAAAAUUAUUAAAAAAAAUUUAUCUUA
rnacentral:tRNA from 1 species